rnacentral:rRNA from 1 species
UACAGAGGUCGCAAGCGUUAAUCGGAUUUACUGGGCGUAAAGCGUGUGUAGGUGGUUGUACAAGUCGGUUGUGAAAUCCCCGGGCUCAACCUGGGAACUGCUUCCGAGACUGUGCGACUAGAGAUCGGUAGAGGGCGGUGGAAUUUCCGGUGUAGCGGUGAAAUGCGUAGAUAUCGGAAGGAACACCAAUGGCGAAGGCAGCCGCCUGGGCCUGAUCUGACACUGAGACACGAAAGCGUGGGGAGCAAACAGG